GUGGGGAAUUUUGGACAAUGGGGGAAACCCUGAUCCAGCCAUCCCGCGUGUGCGAUGAAGGCCUUCGGGUUGUAAAGCACUUUUGGCAGGAAAGAAAUCGGACGGGCUAAUAUCCUGUCUGGAUGACGGUACCUGCAGAAUAAGCACCGGCUAACUACGUGCCAGCAGCCGCGGUAAUACGUAGGGUGCAAGCGUUAAUCGGAAUUACUUGGCGUAAAGCGUGCGCAGGCGGUUCGGAAAGAAAGAUGUGAAAUCCCAGAGCUCAACCUGGGAACUGCAUUUUUAACUACCGGGCUAGAGUAUGUCAGAGGGGGGUGGAAUUCCGCGUGUAGCAGUGAAAUGCGUAGAGAUGCGGAGGAACACCGAUGGCGAAGGCAGCCCCCUGGGAUAAUACUGACGCUCAUGCACGAAAGCGUGGGGAGCAAACAGGAUUAGAUACCCCUGUAGUCCC
rnacentral:rRNA from 1 species